rnacentral:rRNA from 1 species
UACGUAGGGGGCGAGCGUUGUCCGGAUUUAUUGGGCGUAAAGAGCUCGGUAGGCGGUUCCGCAAGUCGGAUAUGAAAUCUCCACGCUUAACGUGGAGGGGUUAUUCGAUACUGCGGUGACUAGAGUCCGGUAGGGGAGUGUGGAAUUCCCGGUGUAGCGGUGAAAUGCGCAGAGAUCGGGAGGAACACCCGUAGCGAAGGCGGCACUCGUGGGCCGGUGACUGACGCUGAGGAGCGAAAGCGGUGGGUAGCGGAACAGG